GGGGGCGACCCGGUUUCGACGUGGGUUGCGAAACAGCGUGGUGCAUGCCAAGGUCCAGUCACCUUGUAAAUCAGCUGGAAAACGUAUAGUCGCAAACGACGAACGUUACUCUCUAGCCGCCUAAUACCGGCUAGACUCCGCACCAGCUUUCUCUCGGGUUGGGUUGGGUAACCAACAGC
rnacentral:tmRNA from 1 species